CCGGGAACCCCGAACAUCCCCUUUCUCUACUCUUUCCCUUUGGAGUCUAUAGAGGGAGAAGCAGAGCCUAAGGCUUCAUCAGUUUGAAUACUGGCUGGGGCUGGGCAAGUUAGUGGCUCAAAGUGUUGAAUCUGUCCCUAAAGCAGGGACAGAAAUGGAGGCUCAGGAGGUAGAGGUGGCAGUGGGCGUGCAGGAGAAGCUGUAGGUCAGGAGGUAGAGGUGGCAGUGGGCGUGCAGGAGAACUGUAGGUCAGAGUGGAGAGGUGGCAGUGGGCGUGCAGGAGAAGGUGUAGGUCGGGGGGUAGAGGUGGCAGUGGGCGUGCAGGAGAAGCUGUAGGUCGGAGAGGGUGCAGAGUGGAGAACAGAUGAGCUGGAGUCACACCAUGCCCUAUACCCAGCCAGAGGCCGAAGUGAGCCUGUCACGGUAAUGCCACUGCCUGCUUGAUUCCCUCCCAUGCCUAGCCUGGGUUCUUCAUGAUCCCUGAGGCCCUCUUUGAUGUCAUCCCGCUGCCUCAAAACCUGUGUGUGCUGGUGGCUCCCUCUGCUUUCCUUCCAGAUGACUCCUUCGCUUCAGCUCAAAUGUCACCUUUGGCUGUUAAAAUCCUUUCCGGAGGAAGUUGUAAACAAUGCCUACCCCUCCUCCCGAGGUCUCUGAUUCCACUCCAGGGAAGAUUGCUCUGGGGGAGCCAAUGAGUUUGUUGGGAUUACUUCCAGAGCAUAGGUGAGGGGUUAGUUACUUGAAUAUGAGUGCUGCCCACCAAAAGACCGCACUGAAAAGUCUUUACCCAGCAGGGGUGAUGGU
rnacentral:lncRNA from 1 species